rnacentral:rRNA from 1 species
CAGCCGCCACGGGAAUACAGAGGGUGCGAGCGUUAAUCGGAUUUACUGGGCGUAAAGCGUGCGUAGGCGGCUUUUUAAGUCGGAUGUGAAAUCCCUGAGCUUAACUUAGGAAUUGCAUUCGAUACUGGGAAGCUAGAGUAUGGGAGAGGAUGGUAGAAUUCCAGGUGUAGCGGUGAAAUGCGUAGAGAUCUGGAGGAAUACCGAUGGCGAAGGCAGCCAUCUGGCCUAAUACUGACGCUGAGGUACGAAAGCAUGGGGAGCAAACAGGAUUAGAGACCCCGGUAGUCCCUGUCUCUUAUAC